UCUUCAGUGAGGUACAUCCUUACCUGUUACUUCCUACCAAGGAGUAUCAGAACAUGAUGAAUGGAGACUCAUGAGAUAUGAUUAAUAUCUCCAUCUUGUAGGGAACAGCAACACCCUACAAGACCCAUUCUGAC